CUCCUGGAAACGGGUGGUAAUGCCGGAUGCUCCGGUUGGAUGCAUGUCCUUCCGGGAAAGGUUCCAUCGGUAUGGGAUGGGGUCGCGUCCUAUCAGCUUGAUGGCGGGGUAACGGCCCACCAUGGCUUCGACGGGUAGCCGGCCUGAGAGGGCGACCGGCCACAUUGGGACUGAGAUACGGCCCAGACUCCUACGGGAGGCAGCAGUGGGGAAUAUUGCACAAUGGGCGCAAGCCUGAUGCAGCGACGCCGCGUGCGGGAUGGAGGCCUUCGGGUUGUAAACCGCUUUUGAUCGGGAGCAAGCCCUUCGGGGUGAGUGUACCUUUCGAAUAAGCACCGGCUAACUACGUGCCAGCAGCCGCGGUAAUACGUAGGGUGCAAGCGUUAUCCGGAAUUAUUGGGCGUAAAGGGCUCGUAGGCGGUUCGUCGCGUCCGGUGUGAAAGCCCAUCGCUUAACGGUGGGUCUGCGCCGGGUACGGGCGGGCUGGAGUGCGGUAGGGGAGACUGGAAUUCCCGGUGUAACGGUGGAAUGUGUAGAUAUCG
rnacentral:rRNA from 1 species